UGUAUUGCUGUGUUGGCUAGUGUGGCUGCGAGAAGGAGAUGUAUUGCUGUGUUGGCUAGUCUGACUGCGAGCAGGAGAUGUAUUGCUGUGUUGGCUAGUCUGGCUGCGAGCAGGAGAUGUAUUGCUGUGUUGGCUAGUCUGGCUGUGAGCAGGAGAUGUAUUGCUGUGUUGGCUAGUCUGGCUGUGAGAAGGAGAUGUAUUGCUGUGUUGGCUAGUCUGGCUGCGAGCAGGAGAUGUAUUGCUGUGUUGGCUAGUCUGGCUGCGAGCAGGAGAUGUAUUGCUGUGUUGGCUAGUCUGGCUGCGAGCAGGAGAUGUAUUGCUGUGUUGGCUAGUGUGGCUGCGAGCAGGAGAUGUAUUGUUGUGUUGGCUAGUCUGGCUGCGAGCAGGAGAUGUAUUGCUGUGUUGGCUAGUCUGACUGCGAGCAGGAGAUGUAUUGCUGUGUUGGCUAGUGUGGCUGCGAGAAGGAGAUGUAUUGCUGUGUUGGCUAGUCUGACUGCGAGCAGGAGAUGUAUUGCUGUGUUGGCCAGUCUGGCUGCGAGCAGGAGAUGUAUUGCUGUGUUGGCUAGUCUGGCUGUGAGCAGGAGAUGUAUUGCUGUGUUGGCUAGUCUGGCUGUGUAUUAUAAAAAUAGACACAGAAUGAAACUUAAAGGGACACUAUAGUCACAAAAACAACUUUAGCUUAAUGAAGCAGUUUUGGUGCAUAGCUCAUGCUCCUGUUGUUUCAAUGCUCAAUUCUCUGCCAUUUAGGAGUUAAAUCACUUUGUUUAUUUAGCCUUAGUCACACCUCCCUGCAUGUGACUGACACAGCCUUCCUAAACACUUCCUGUAAAGAGCCAUCUAAUGUUUAAACUUCCUUUAUUGCAAAUUCUGUUUAAUUUAGGAGUAGGAGAUAAAAUAAACUUUUAAAACAGGUUAACACCUGAUUGAAACUUAAACCAUUGCUAUCAUGCAGGCUGUGUCAGUCAUAUCCAGGGGAGCUGUGAUUAGAAUGCACAAACAGAAACAAUAGUGAUUUAAAUGGCAGAGAAAUUGAGCAGUGAGACUGCAGGGGCAUAAUCUAUACACCAAAACUGCUUCAUUAAGCUAAAGUUGUUUUGGUGACUAUAGCAUCCCUUUAAUAUUCUACAUGUCCCACACUGUAACUGUAUACAGCCGGCAGUGAUUAUUACGGGAAGACUGAUAAAAACUGUGCUUCUUUGGAAAUGCACUUGGAAAGCGGAAGUGUUACAAUCAUUGGUGUGCAUAGCACAUUACAUUAGGGGGUGCACUCAGAGAAAAUUGUACUUUUUGAAAAAAAUACUUGUUUAAAAAAAUGAGGUAAAAAGGUUUUGUUUUAGUGACAGGUUAUACAGAGAUAUGACCUAACAAGUUGACCCACACUCAUACAAAGUUCUGACCGAGGCAGGAAACCGGGACUGGGGUCCCCUGCACCCCCUGAUUGUAAGAAUGAGGGAUACCGUACGUACUGUCCAUUUCAAAAAGGGGAGUUUUUAAUAUACCAAAUUAUUUACCGAACGCCCGACCACCCAGAACAGAAGUGUGGCUCUCAUUUACCUCCCUGACUCUAAUAUCACCGUGAAAACCUCAAACACUCCAUGGAUUUAAUUGUUAUACAGGGUGGUCGGCGUUCGUUUGCACAAACACGUGGUGGCGGCUAUUUUGUUUAGUCGAACGCACUCAGCGGUGUUUGGUCGUCGACCGCGUGGAACUAUUUUCGGCCAGACUUUUCCACGAACACGCUGAAACUUCCAUCCUCCAUGCGUUCGGCUAAAUUCAUCUGAACAGAGCGCUCUUUAGACAAUAUAAACUCACGAACUAGCUGUAUCUAAAGAGACUAAGCACGAAUCAAUCAGUUCAUGCAAAGUGGGACGUUCGUCGGAUGAAAGAAUAGACCGACCCCACAGUCUGGAUCUGUGGAACUGUUUUGGGCAUACACACAGGCGUGUGGCCGGUCCAAAGAGACUUUUUACUAUCUCCUGAACUACCGAACUGAGUAACACAAAUUUUGGAUAUGUUUGUCCCCAAGUUUUGCUGUUCAUAAAAAUAUAACUUUAUUCCUGUACGAUGUAAAAUUAGAAAGUUAUAAAAAUGUAUAAAAAGUAUAAUUUUUUAGCUUGGAGAUAAUUAAGUAGAUACAGUAAGUAACUCAAUUAUCUACCAAGCAGAGGGGAGGGAAUAUGUGGGUUGUAACCAUUGUUUGAUUGGUCACUGUAUAAUUGUCUGCAUAAAAGGAGAGUACCUGUCAUUAAAAGUACAGUUCUUCUUCACCCUUCAAAAGGUAGCCUUGUCUCGUUAUUACAAGGGAACUUGUUCAUCUUAAUCACUAGCUCUUUUAAGAGCUCUGCCUUACUCUCUACUUGGAUCCAGCGGAUGGGAUAAAGCAACUCCACUACUGCACAGCAUCUUGCCGGGAAGAAUGAUGUCUCCAACGGCUGAUACCCCCUCACCAACUGGGGUAGCCAUUACAUACAUCUUGCAGGACAACAUGAUAACAGUAAAAUGUCAGAAUUGGCCACCGUAACUAAAACCUGUCUCUACAUCAUGGUCUGACACGGCCAUCCACCAGCUGGAACGUACUUUUGUCCUGAAUUCUGAAACAUUUUGUAUCAAUCUAUCUAUCGGACAAUGUUUCCUGUUAGACAUCGGAUGUAACAGGAUUUUCAUGCUAGGUCCUCUGGCCGUAUCUAUUUUAAUAGGGUUUACAUUACAUAUGAAUGCAAAUCCAACACAGAUAAAGAUACUUUGCGGAAGGUCCUGUAUUUGCCGCUCGGCCCACACUAGGAAGUAGCUGAAUCCAGUCAGCCAAUCCCAGCCAUCUCUUUUUAUGUAACGGAGGUGGAACCCAAGCUCAUCCAGGUUCUGCCAGCAGGCACAAGCGUUCAUUCAUUAGCCUGAUCAAAAAUUAAACUACUGACAAGUGCUGGACUGCAUAUUCCAGUCGGAUAGCGGUUAGUUAGACCCCCACUGAGAAAUUUGAAAAGGCCAGACCGGCGAAGAGGGUCCAAGCAGAGAAAUGUGUUUUCACCAUGAGUUUACACUGUGCCCACCACUUGGCCUGAUAUAGAAGUGUCCAUGUGUUACUAAAUAUAUUUGUUCCCAGAACCUGAGAGAGCGUAAACAGAGAAAUAACUUCUAACACUGGGAUACAGUUCGCUCAGAGAGAGGUGGGUGGAACCGUGAUGGAAAGAUGGGGACAGUCAGCCUGGAGUGAAUGCGUGGUACCGUGAUGAAAAGAUGGGGACAGUCAGCCUUUAGUGAAUGCGUGGUACCGUGAUGAAAAGAUGGGAAGAGACAGCCUGGAGUGAAUGCGUGGUACCGUGAUGAAAAGAUGGGGACAGUCAGCCUGGAGUGAAUGUGUGGUACUGUGAUGAAAAGAUGGGGAUGGUCAGCCUGGAGUGAAUGCGGGAACCAUGAUUGAAAGAUGUGGACGGUCAGCCUGGAGUGAAUGCGGGAACCAUGAUGGAAAGAUGUGGAAGGUCAGCCUGGAGUGAAUGUGUGGAACCGUGAUGGAAAGAUGGGGCUGGUCAGCCCUGUAGUGAAUGCGAGAACCAUGAUGGAAAGAUGUGGACGGUCAGCCUGGAGUGAAUGCGGGAACCAUGAUGGAAAGAUGUGGAAGGUCAGCCUGGAGUGAAUGUGUGGAACCGUGAUGGAAAGAUGGGGCUGGUCAGCCCUGUAGUGAAUGCGAGAACCAUGAUGGAAAGAUGUGGACGGUCAGCCUGGAGUGAAUGCGGGAACCAUGAUGGAAAGAUGUGGAAGGUCAGCCUGGAGUGAAUGUGUGGAACCGUGAUGGAAAGAUGGGGAUGGCCAGCCUGGAGUGAAUAUGUGGAACCGUGAUGGAAAGAUG
rnacentral:lncRNA from 1 species